CCUGCAUCAGAUGUUUGAGGUGGCGUUAUGUUUGUUGCCAUCUCUGAUAUCAGUACAGCCGACGAGUUGAUCGGGAUAGUAGUGAAAUCAACUGGAUUCUCACUGGUUAAAAAGCCUUAAAGAGGAUUGGGUUUGACUGUUUGGGUUUGACUUCUCAAUCUGACCCUCAGUUAUCUGCUGCUGAUCUAGCUGUCUCGUGUCAGUCAAUAAACCUACAGCCUGAUUUUCCAUCAGAUGAGACCUCUGAAAUUCAGAAGCAAGCAGGAAGACACGAACAAAGACAACCAAAGGAAAAAUGCAGUCCGAGGAUGAUAUGGCGCUCGGAUUGAAGCCAGACGCAGAGUCGAGAGAGACCCGCAUGGCUGGCAGCUGUUGAUGAGUGCGGCUUAUGGUCAUUUCCAAUUCAUCUCUAUACUGAAAGGUUCAGAUGUUCGCUUCACCACAGGCAGGUAGAGCGACAGAGCACACUUAUCUGACACCCUUCUCCCUCUCUCCUCACCUAGCCUUUUUUUUAUUGGUGAUCUAACCUGCAAUGAGGAGAUAAAGGCAGGCAGGCUUUUUCCAUAAAUGCACUUAUCAGAGCCCAACAAGCUCUCCAACACUUGUCUGACUGACAGCCCAGCUCUUCGGAAUU